AGGCCGGGUCCCGCGCAACGCGGACUCGUGAACCCCGCCAGGCCCGGAAGGGAGCAACGGUAAGCGAGCCACCGCGUGUGCCGCGGGGUAGCCGGGCCGGAGC
rnacentral:SRP_RNA from 1 species